rnacentral:rRNA from 1 species
GUGGGGAAUCUUAGACAAUGGGCGCAAGCCUGAUCUAGCCAUGCCGCGUGAGCGAUGAAGGCCUUAGGGUUGUAAAGCUCUUUCAGGGGGGAAGAUAAUGACGGUACCCCCAGAAGAAGCCCCGGCUAACUCCGUGCCAGCAGCCGCGGUAAUACGGAGGGGGCUAGCGUUGUUCGGAAUUACUGGGCGUAAAGCGCACGUAGGCGGACCAGAAAGUCAGGGGUGAAAUCCCGGGGCUCAACCCCGGAACUGCCUUUGAAACUCCUGGUCUUGAGGUCGAGAGAGGUGAGUGGAAUUCCGAGUGUAGAGGUGAAAUUCGUAGAUAUUCGGAGGAACACCAGUGGCGAAGGCGGCUCACUGGCUCGAUACUGACGCUGAGGUGCGAAAGCGUGGGGAGCAAACAGGAUUAGAAACCCGUGUAGUCC